CCUACGGAGGCAGCAGUGAGGAAUAUUGGUCAACGGACGCAAGUCUGAACCAGCCAUGCCGCGUGCAGGAAGACGGCUCUAUGAGUUGUAAACCUCUUUUGUCAGGGAGCAAUUGGCGCUACGUGUAGCGUUAUCGAGAGUACCUGAAGAAAAAGCAUCGGCUAACUCCGUGCCAGCAGCCGCGGUAAUACGGAGGAUGCGAGCGUUAUCCGGAUUUAUUGGGUUUAAAGGGUGCGUAGGCGGAAUGCCAAGUCAGCGGUAAAAUCGCGGGGCUCAACCUCGCUCCGCCGUUGAAACUGGCGUUCUUGAGUGGGCGAGAAGUAUGCGGAAUGCGUGGUGUAGCGGUGAAAUGCAUAGAUAUCACGCAGAACUCCGAUUGCGAAGGCAGCAUACCGGCGCCCAACUGACGCUGAAGCACGAAAGCGUGGGUAUCGAACAGGAUUAGAUACCCUUGUAGUC
rnacentral:rRNA from 1 species